GCUGGCGAUUAAAGGCACCCGCAAACUAUGUUCGAUUUUCUCCUAGCAGAUCUCAGCUAGGCGAAGCGACCGUCUGUUCUCUCAUACUCCCUAAAGACCUUUGCUUGAAAAAACAAUAUUACUAAAUCAAGUUCUUACUGAGGAGAUUUUAGUUGCACAAUUUUGCAGUAUUUCUCAAGUUUAAAAAAAUAGAUAGACAUUUCCACUUCACAAUAACAGCACUUACAGUUGACCGGGGCAGCUCUAGCAGGACAGACAUUUUACGAACUGACUUGUUGGAAAGGUGGCAUCCUAUGACAGUGCCAUGAUGAAUGUCACUGAGCUCUUCAGUAAGGCCAUUCUACUGCCAAUGUUUGUCUACGGAGAUUGAAUGGCUGUGUGUUCGAUUGGGGUGAAAUAGCCAAAUCCACUAUUUGAAAUGGUGUCCAACAUACUUUUGUAUAUAUAGUGUAUUCGCAAACUUUAUCAACUGGGAAGCAUACGGUAAGCUUAAGCUUAAAUUGACUGUGUUAACUCUGAAGAUUGUGCAUGCAUCUAAGAAGGUGAGUUGUGGGGCCUACUGUUGUGGGUUUUAUGCUGCUAAAUGAUGCUUAGUUACUAAUAGCAGGCCUACUUAUAGCUAAUUUUCUACACGUGUAACUGUAUUGUAAUAGUAUUAUGUCAUCUUGCAGCUAAGGUUUGUGUAUAUUUUAGAUGGUGCAUAUUGUUUAUAUUGCCUUAGUGCCGGUAUCACCUUGAUUGCACAAGUGUUUUUGACUUUAGAUGCAUCAUAAACUUAGAUAGCUAACGUAAACUCACCCCAUUCCGUACAAAUGUGCGCAACCGCAACAUUCAAACGAGGCUACAAAGAAAACUAAUGGGACUGUAGUGACUGUGUUGACGUCAAAAUCGGGGGUGUGAACUAGGUUUCUAUUCAAGCGUUGAUCGACAUGGUAAUGGCUCUAUAGUAUUGGAGAAAGGUAAAAAAAAUCUUGACGUGUCAUGUCGUAACGUACAGCACGCAUAAAGCAACUAUUUCUGUCUUACAAUCUCACUCCACCAGGUGUAGCACUUCUAUCAUCCUUUAAAAACAAGAAAUGGACAGUGACGGGGGUAAGGGGGGAUACCUAGCCAUUUUUUCCGUCAUCAUUGCAUGCGAUCAUCAUUCUCAAAGCCGCUGUUAACUUCUAAGAUCACUUUAGCACUGCCCUAAAAACCCGAUUCAAUUCGACACAAACCUUCAAAUAGGUAUGUAAUGACACAUUAUAUAAACUCUUUAUAGUGUUGUAUUUACAUUUUAGAGGCGAUAAGGUGAUAAGUUGGACAGAUCGAGUGAAAAAAGCAAUUUUCCCACACAACAUCUCUCCUUCUCACUAUCACGCAUUAGUUUCGCUUCCCCACCCGCCAUUUUUAAAAAGACCCGACGGGGCUCAUUGCCUGCUUAAAUUCUGCAGAACCGUCAGCGUUUAGGUCAUGUAAUUGAUUAUGUUGGAAAGGGGAGAAAUUGUGCAUUAGAAUGGUAUUGACAUUACAGUUGAUCUGGAAGCAUUACGUUUUUGGGGCACUAAAAUACGGGCAAUUGUACAGACGAUGUAUGAGUUUACGUGAGUUUACGUUAGCUAAGAUUGAGAGGAGACCACCGGAUUUUAACUGCUAGCCAUUUUUGACAAACUUUGCUAGCUAAUGAAAACAUUGCCAUCUGUCUACAACCUAUGAAUAGCAACAUUUGUUUAGCAUUUGUCUUUUUUGCCCAGCUCUCAGACUUUGUGUGUCUGCCUGCCUGCCAGCCUGUCUGUCUAUGAGUUCCAAGAAAUGUGGCUAGAGGUGUGGUGGCCACUGGAGGGCAACUUUACUGGAGCACAUGUAGGAGCUCGUUGUCAUUAAGUUAAUCUGUAACAGCUGAUACAAGUACGCAUCCCAUAUAAGGUACUACUACAGUACUAAUUCAUAUUUCAUUAAUGUACAUGGUCGACUUUGACCCAAGAGAACAAUCCAGACUAAGAAUUUGCAAAAGAUUGAACGCCUGGUCUAUGAUUAGUAGAUGUUGGAGAGGUGAGCGUGUAUCAUAUCCCCCUGCUGUUCUUCAUCCCUUGGUGCAGUCUGCUGACCAUCGCUGAGGCCAGGAAGAAGUCCGCUAGCCGAAGUAGAAGCCAAGUUCAUCACCAUGCAACGCUCUAUUAGCCGAGGUGCCAUGUCAUCUUCUAUCUACUUCAUAGUGGCCUCAGCUGGACUCCACCGCAUAACAUCUUGGUCUAGCCAGAUUAAUCAAGAGCUUCAAUCCGGGCCGGCUUUGGUUUCCAGGUGGAUCACAGUUACAAUCCCCAUUGCUUCCACCCACCUCAAUUAUCUACUAGGGGCUUCACAUUCUUCUUGAGGCGCUGAUAUUACUUUCUAAAUUAAAUGUUAUCAUGGUCGGAUGACUUACAAUCGUACAUGACUCUAUUCCCUUAAUGGACAGUACCAGAGACUGUUGCCUUAUUAGAAAUGUACAGAAGUUAUUUUUUUUCAAUAAACUAUUUUCUAUAUUAGUUUUGGGCUAAUCUAAUCCUGACCUGACAGCAUGAUAUUUAGUUUUACAACCCUCAAGAGACUCUGAGAAGGGAGUGGUGGCCAUCUGACCAACGGCAUUGCUGUGUGUGGUUAACCCCAGCUGCUCCUCAAGGUGCUCCAGCACUGACUUUUAGAUCCUGCUGAAACGGUCCACUAUCAGCCAGGCUCUCCAUGGAAAAGAAGGGCUGUUGUGGCACCAAAAUAGAUGAGUUGCCUGGGUAGCACCUCCUUUGUCCAAAAAGUUUAAUUUAACUCUGAAAAUCUUAGUGCAUUAAACUGACAACUAUGUACAAGAUCAAAGUAGUGCUAAAAAUAACAUAAUGUAGAACAAAAACACAAGAAAUAUAAAUUAACAAUAAGAAGAACACAAGAAGCUAAGUAAGCUAUUUACAUGGUCAGUUCCAAUGGCCAGGGAUAUUGAGAGCUCUUCCAGGGCACAAUUAAUAAUAUAAUAAUAAUCAAUCAUUUUGCUCUUUAUUUAGCCAGCUUACAUAUAAAACUUUAUUUGUUCAUCGAAAAUUGUGAAUAAUUCACCACAGGUUCAUGAAGGAUGUGCUUGAAAGGAUGCACAUAACUAUGCAAUGUUGGGUUGUAUUGGAGAGAGUCUCAGUCUUAAAUCAUAUUCCAUACACAGUCUGUGCCUGUAUAUAGUUUUCACGCUUGUGAGGGCAAGAAUCCACUCUCACAUAGGUACGUGGUUGCAAAGGGCAUCAGAGUCCUAACAGCGCAAUUUGCUACAUCAGGAUACUCUAAGUGCAGCCCAAUCCAGAAAUCUGGCACUGGCUUUUGGUAAAUACAAUUUUCACAGAACCGCUUGUUCCAAUUUCAAUGAGGCUCUUGUUCAUAUAUCGGUAAGUGAACUGGAGGCAGGGCAUGAAAGGGAUAUCAAAUCCAGUUGUUUGUGUCAUCCUUUUUGGGAAAGUACCUGCGUAAUUGCGCACCCAACUCGCUCAGGUGCUUCGCUAUGUCACAUUUGACAUUGUCCGUAAGCUUGAGUUCAUUUGCAUACAAAAAAUCAUACAAUGAUGGAAAGACCUGUGUGUUGUUCUUGUUAAUGCAGACAGAGAAGAGCUCCAACUUCUUAAUCUUAGCCUCAAUUUUGUCCCGCACAUUGAAUAUAGUUGCGGAGAGUCCCUGUAAUCCUAGAUUCAGAUCAUUCUGUCAAGAAAAAAAUCACCCAGAUAGGCCAGUCGUGUGAGAAACCCGUCAUCAUGCAAGCGGUCAGACAAGUGAAAAUUAUGGUCAAUAAAGAAAACUUUAAGCUCGUCUCUCAAUUCAAAAAAACGUGUCAAUACUUUGACCCUUGAUAACCAGCACACUUCUGUAUGUUGUAAAAGCAUUACAUGGUCACUGCCAGUAUCAUUGCAUAGUGCAGAAAAUACACGAGAGUUCAGGGGCCUUGCUUUAACGUUUUAUGGCUGCAUAGGCAGUAUUGAGUAGCUUGGAUGAAAAGGUGCCCAUUGUAAAUGGCCAGCUCCUCAGUCUCAGUUGAUAAUAUAUGCAUAUAAUUAUUAGUAUUGGACAGAAAACACUCUAAAUUUUCCAAAACUGUCAAAAUAUUGUCUGUGAGUACAACAGAACUGAUUUUGCAGGCAAAACCCUGAGGAAAAUCAAAACAGGAAGUGGCUUCUAUUUUCCAUGUUCCCAUAGCCUCCCUUUGCUGGAUUUAAAGGGAUAUGAACCAGAUUCCUUUUCCUAUCGCUUCCUCAAGGUGUCAACAGUCUUCAGACAUAGUUUCAGGCUUUUAUUUUGAAAAAUGGCCUUAGUUAUCUUUGUUUUCUAUAUUAUUUUGGUUAGGUCAGGGUGUGACAUGGGACAAAACAGACAAAACACAUAAAUCCCCCAAAAUGAAUCCCGGAAAAGAAGGUUACAAGGUAAGGGGACAUACAGAGAGAACGAGAGAGAGAGAAUAAGGAGAAUCCUCGCUGGGGAAAAGCUUUGGCCUUUGAAGUAGAAGUUACAGGUCUGUGAGAGCCAGAAAUCUUGCUUGUUUGUAGGUGACCAAAUACUUAUUUUCCACCAUAAUUUGCAAAUAAAUUCAUAAAAAAUCCUACAAUGUGAUUUUCUGGAUUUUUUCCCCAUUUUGUCUGUCAUAGUUGAAGUGUACAUAUGAUGAAAAUUACAGGCCUCUCUCAUCUUUUUAAUUUGGAGAACUUGCACAAUUGGUGGCUGACUAAAUACUUUUUUGCCCCAUUGUAUGUUACUGGCUGAAAAGGGUGGGGGGGUGUAUGAGGUUUCAUCCCAGAAUGACACAGCUCCAGACGGAUCAGUGACCAAGGCCCUGGCAGAGAUCUCUGGGGGAGAUAAUGCUCUAACAAAUUGGUUUGAUAGUGUGUUUGGGAAAUGAAUAAAUGUCAUGAUCACUGUGUUUUGGGCAACCUUCACCUGUGUGACCGUGUUAGUUUUGUGCGGAUGAUUCCGGUGUGAAAGGUUCUCAUUUCCAGGACUCUGGAGAAAUCGAUGAGACAACAGAUGGUGAGAUACGGGCCGAUUACGAGCUCUGACCAGUGGAAUGAUGAAUACAUGAUUCUAGACCUAGCAUAUGGAUCCGGAUCCUUCACAUACGAGGAGCCUAUGUUAAAUGAGACCAUUUUUUAUGUUUAGGUUCUCUUAUGUUUUGAUGUUUAGAAUGUUUAUUUGAUGAAGAUUAUAACGAAAAUCCUGAUAAGAAGUGUUAUGAUUCUGAUGUAGGCCUGGAACGGUCAAUGUAAUACAUAUGUUGGUCUUUGUUAGGUUGUAUUUGGAUAACAAGAGAUAGUUUUAAUAAAAAUAGAUGUGUGCUCUUUAAUAUUUUAAUAGAAUAUUCUAAUAAAAAUAGAGGUGUGAUUGGAUGUAUACUAUUUAGUCAUAGGGUGGAUAUGUUAUGGGAUUUUUAUGAAUACUGACUCAAUUAUGUAUACAUUUAGCUUAGAAUUAUAACUAAACAGAAUACUACUUAUAAUCAUAAAAUCAAAUCAAAUUUAUUUAUAUAACUGUCACGUUCUGACCUUUGAUUUCCUUUGUUUUGUAUAUAUUUAGUAUGGUCAGGGCGUGAGUUGGGUGGGCAGUCUAUGUUUGAUUUUCUAUUAUUUGGGAUUUCUAUGUUUCGGCCUAGUAUGGUUCUCAAUCAGAGGCAGGUGUCAUUAGUUGUCUCUGAUUGAGAAUCAUACUUAGGUAGCCUGGGUUGCACUGUUUGUUUGUGGGUGAUUGUCUAUGUUGAUUGCUUGUUUCAGCGCAGUUUGCAUUUAGCUUCACGGUUGUUCUUUCGUUUAUUGUUUUUGUAAAGGGUUUCAGAGUUCAGUGUUUUCUGUAUUAAAAUUAAUGAUGAACACAUACCACGCCGCAUUUUGGUCCUCCGAUCCAUCUCGCCUCUCCUCUUCAGAUGAAGAGGAGGA
ensembl:lncRNA